ACCCCUAGAAGAGUCAAGGCACAUGGCAUUGACCACCGGACCUUCAUCCUCUGGUGGUCAGAUAAGAAUCUCUGCUUCCCCGAGUCCCUCCCCAUCCUAGAUAGCAAGAAGAGGGAGACUGCCUCAGUGUUGCAAUGGAUUUCUGGACCCUCGAGAGGGAUUCAGGAAAUAACCAUCCCACCAUAACCGAGUAAGGAAAACAGAAGACAGUAUGUGAGCAAACGCAGAAAUAGGGUAGAAGAGCGUUAGGAAGAGCCUGCAGGAUGGGCCCCGUGCAGUGAAGCAGGCUGCAGAAUAUGUGCUUCUUGUGGUCCAGGAGAGGUAAACAAGGUUGCUAGGAAACACUGUUGGUAAGGUAGCUCAAGCAGCCACUGCUAAAACAAAACAAAACCCUUUUUUUCUUCUCAGACCUUGCUCUUGGAAUGACGACUCUGAGACUAAUAAUUUAUUAGUAAAUGCCUAGGCCAUGAGCUUUGGCUCAUUCCCUGACUAGCCUGUAACUUAUUUAGUCCACUCAAAUUAUUCCAUAAGAGCAGGUGCAACCUUAGCAGCUGAGGAGAAGGGAGAGUAUUUCCAUGGUGUACAGCCAACACAGCUGGGACCCAGUGUGGGACACCGGACCUCAGAGCCUCUCCCAGCCCUUUCUUGCUCUUCAUUCUCUGCAUAGAGCAUUCAGCCACCAGGAAGUAAGACACCCACUUGCAACUCCACAUGGGUCUUGAAUGUCUUCAGGGAAAAGUAACUUCCAAUAAAGAUGCACACUGAUCUGAA